CCCACGACCAACAUUACCCACGACGUAACUUUUCUUCCUUCGUUUACAACGACCGUUUUCUCUCUCAUGAAGGCUAGAGGCUAGCUAAUCCUACGAUUCCCACCUUCCAGUAAAAAGAAAAUCCCAAAUCGUGCGGCCGGCGGUUAGUGGCGAGCAGCGGCAAUCCUAAUUGCGGCUCCGGCGGCGGCUGCUGGGGAAAGGAGCAUCCGACGGGGGCUGAGAGGAGCUCCGCACGGGAGCAGACGCGUGGCCGCAGCUCACUACGCGACGGGCCGGCAGAGCGUCGGCGGCGCCGGCCGAGGCGGCGGCUUCGAGGACGACUACUGGGGCGUGAGCCAGGAGCGGCUCGACUCGACCGAGUCGCACCAGAGUGCUCCACCGACCUGUUCCUCUCCUAUUUGGUCGUGGGAUGCUGGGGAUGAGCCGGAAGGAGGUUACGGCGGCGGCGGGGAAGGAUCGUCGCUGCAGUUGGAGGGGAGCGGCUGCGGAGACGGCGAGCGGGCGGGGCGCGGGCGCGGUGGCGGCUGUACCGGGAGAUAACGUUGGCGCGGCGCACGGGGCGGCGCGACGCCAAGGCCGAUUUCUCCUUCCUGCUCGCGAGGGGGCCGCGCAGCCACCUGGGGUUCCUCCGCUCCACCGCCUCUGGCUCCGCCUCCGGCGACUCGCAGCUGCUCCUCUUCCGCCCCAAAUCGUGCUUGCGUGCCGUUCGGGUGGCGUUGCGGCCGGAGGCAAGGGGCGAGCUGCUGUAGUCCGAACUGCGGCGAGCCUAGGCGGCAGCCGCGGGGGCGGCUGGCGGCUGGGGAAGGAACAGUCAGCUGCGGCUGACAGGAGCGGCGCGCGAGAGCAGACGCGGGGCGGUGGCGGGCUACGCGGCGGGCCGGCUCGACCCUAGGCGGCGCCGGCGGUUGCAGCCGGGGCGGCGGCUUCAACGGCGACGCCACCUACCGCGAGCUCGCCGAGCGUAAGGCCUCCUUCUCCCCCGCCUCCACCUCUACCGCGACCUCGCUGCUCCCCAGUCGCCUGCUCUGUACCUCCCCACUCUAGACAGCUUCGAGGCGCCCUUCUUCGGAUUUGCUCCGCCAGCGAUGGCAACGGAACAUCCGUCGGAGAAGACGCUCCCGCCGCCGGAGAAGAAGGCGCCGCUUCAGAAGGUGGUUACCCUCUAGGCCAUCAAGCUGGCCCAGAUUUGGGUGGACAAAUUGAGUGUGGCAGAGCCGGAUGAACUCAACGACAAGGAUUUCGAGGCUUUGUCGAGGCUCGGCCUCCUCUCCGUCUCCGUUGGCGGCUGCUCGGCCUGGAGGUGGCCUGAACAUUCAGGCCUACAGCACAUAGGCAGCUCGGCCUCGGCAACCAGGUGUGGAGCUUGUACGCAACGAAUUCAUCCAUCAAAAGUUCCGUUUGCUCUACGGUGACGUGAGAUCACGCAAUGAUUAUUGUGUUUCUCAAGUAGAUAUGUGUUCUAGAUACUACCAAAAUCAUAAAUCCUUGAAGUUCUCUGGAGAAGUUCUUUACGUCAUUAUCUGGAGAGUUCAGGCCCAUGAUAACCCACAUGAAAAUCUUGUUUUGAAGCUCCGUUUGUGCAUCCUCUCCCUAAAAACUAACUUGCACACCUGUAUAUGGCCCAACAUUUCUUUUUCUGGUGUCCACGUCCACGGAGUGUAUUUGUGUAUUUUGCUUAUGAAUGUGUCCUUUGUAUUGGCAAACAUGCAACAAAAUAUAUCCUCGGAAUGUUUGUAUUGCUUGAAUGGUGUAAUUCUUGAUCGUUAGUCGUUACCUUUUGUAAUUCAUGCAUGGAAAAAAUGACUUGAAUACGACGCA